rnacentral:rRNA from 1 species
GAUGAACGCUGGCGGCGUGCUUAACACAUGCAAGUCGAACGGAAAGGCUCCUGCUUGCAGGGGUACUCGAGUGGCGAACGGGUGAGUAACACGUGGGUGAUCUGCCCUGCACUUCGGGAUAAGCCUGGGAAACUGGGUCUAAUACCGGAUAGGACGAUGGUUUGGAUGCCAUUGUGGAAAGUUUUUCGGUGUGGGAUGAGCUCGCGGCCUAUCAGCUUGUUGGUGGGGUAAUGGCCUACCAAGGCGUCGACGGGUAGCCGGCCUGAGAGGGUGUACGGCCGACUGGGGUGGGAGAGAGGGCCCGCCCCCCCCCGGGCGGGAGGAGGGGGGAAGUGUGAAAAAAGGGCGGAGGCCUGUCGCAGGGAGGCCGGGGGGGGGAGGGCGGCCGUCGGUUGGUAAACCCCUUUCGAUAAGGAGGAAGGGCAAGGACGGGUCCUGGGAAAGAAGGCCCCGCUAAAUACGUU